GGCGACUAUACUAGCCUUUGUGCCAAUCGAAUGAUUUCGAAAUAUCUGUACUUUUGACUUUUCAUUAUGUGCAUGCACAUAUUUCUCCAAAAUGAGACCUCUACUAAGACCAUGCACCGCACGUCGCUGCUGUGUUCCUGCAUAUGAAAAUUUGUAAAAUGAAUAUAUAUCAUCUAUCAAUGGAUGUAUAUAACAAAAAAAAUGUACAUAGUUUAUAA
rnacentral:lncRNA from 1 species